UGGGGAAUAUUGCACGAUGGGCGAAAGCCUGAUGCAGCGACGCCGCGUGAGGGAUGACGGCCUUCGGGUUGUAAACCUCUUUCAGCAGGGAAGAAGCGUAAGUGACGGUAACUGCAGAAGAAGCACCGGCUAACUACGUGCCAGCAGCCGCGGUAAUACGUAGGGUGCGAGCGUUGUCCGGAAUUAUUGGGCGUAAAGAGCUUGUAGGCGGUUUGUCGCGUCUGCUGUGAAAAUCCGGGGCUCAACCCCGGACUUGCAGUGGGUACGGGCAGACUAGAGUGUGGUAGGGGAGACUGGAAUUCCUGGUGUAGCGGUGAAAUGCGCAGAUAUCAGGAGGAACACCGGUGGCGAAGGCGGGUCUCUGGGCAGUAACUGACGCUGAGGAACGAAAGCGUGGGGAGCAAAC
rnacentral:rRNA from 1 species